rnacentral:lncRNA from 10 species
GACUCUGAGAAAUACGUUGAGCAGUUACUUACACUAUUUAAUAGAUUUAGUAAACUCGUCAAAGAAGCUUUUCAAGAUGAUCCACGAUUUCUUACUGCAAGAGAUAAGACCCAGCUCAAAGAAUACUUCCCCUGGAGCUUCCUUGAUGUCCUGCCUCCCUCCACAGCUCAUCACCAGCAGAGUUGAUUCCUCCAUCCUCCGUCCUUUCAUGGGACUCCUUCGGGAGUUAUGUUAUACUUAUCCUUGUUUCCCAGGGAAGCAUUUGUAUUGCAUACCAUCUUUUUCCAUCCUCACUAGUAUAGGAUAAUGAUAAUAAAACACCAUACUGUCCUUAGCAUUGUAUCUUUUUUAGUGUAAUAAACCUAUAACAAGAAA